GCGGAACCCAGACGAUGUGGGAGACGAGGAGAAACGGCAUGAGGUGACUGAGCUCACCGAGCAGGUGGAUGAGGACUCCACGUGUGGAUGGAUACUUGGCCGGAGCUGUCCUCAGCCAAUCACGACUUC
rnacentral:SRP_RNA from 11 species